UACGGAGGGGGCUAGCGUUGUUCGGAAUUACUGGGCGUAAAGCGCACGUAGGCGGCUUUGCAAGUUAGAGGUGAAAGCCCAGGGCUUAACCCUGGAAUUGCCUUUAAAACUGCAUCGCUAGAAUUGUGGAGAGGUAAGUGGAAUUCCGAGUGUAGAGGUGAAAUUCGUAGAUAUUCGGAAGAACACCAGUGGCGAAGGCGGCUACCUGGCAUGAUACUGACACUGAGGCGCGAAAGCGUGGGGAGCAAACAGG
rnacentral:rRNA from 1 species